rnacentral:rRNA from 1 species
AAUGAACGUUGGCGGCGUGGAUUAGGCAUGCAAGUCGAGCGAGAACCGGUUUCGGCCGGGGACAGCGGCGAACGGCGUAGUAAUGCAUCGGAACGUACCCUCUGGUCGGGGAUAGCUACGGGAAACUGUAGGUAAUACCCGAUGAUCUCUGCGGAGCAAAGGUGAGAUUCCGCCGGAGGAGCGGCUGAUGUGAUAUUAGCUAGUUGGUGGGGUAAUGGCCUACCAAGGCGAUGAUGUCUAGGGGGUGUGAGAGCAUGGCCCCCACGACCGGAACUGAGAUACUGUCCGGACACCUACGGGUGGCUGCAGGCGAGAAUCUUCCGCAAUGGACGAAAGUCUGACGGAGCGACGCCGCGUGCGGGAUGAAGGCCCUUGGGUUGUAAACCGCUGUCAGAGGGGAUGAAAUCUUCGGAGGUACUCCUCCGAAGUUGACAGAGCCUCAAAGGAAGCACGGGCUAAGUACGUGCCAGCCGCCGCGGUAA